UGAAAAAAAGUAUUUUAAUACAAAGGGCAAUAGAUUAAUUAAAAAUGCUAUUCCAACAUUAAAUUUGCCACAACCAUUGGAUGACAGUCUUUUGGUAGAUUUUCCUUUAUAUGGUGAAGAAAAAGAAAAAUCUCAAAUCUUGAAAGUUUUCAAGAUAUAACAAAUUCAGAGAAUGUGCAAUGGAAUGAAAAUAUUUUAUCUAAAG
rnacentral:misc_RNA from 1 species